rnacentral:misc_RNA from 1 species
GAAAAACAGGAUAUUUAUAAAUAACAAAACCCUUCUUUUAGUCUUGUUCAAUGAAUCAACAGAAAUAAACUAGACCUAAGAUUUCCUAAUUGCAGCAUUCAAUAUAUGUACAUUCUCAAAACAACAGAACUUCACAUCAGUCAUUAAGCAAUGUGAACUUUCUCAUUGAAAUCAAUAGUCAAGAUGCAGCUCAUAUACUCAUAAGGGAAGGUAGCACAACAUCAAAGAAAUAACAAACUUCAGAGCUACUCGACUAAUUGAUAUAAGAUUUCUAUUCACAAUGUUUGCACUUUACCCAAGUGGUUAAAAAAUACCAGGCAACCGUCCUCUUAUUCUUGCCUUCUCCUUCAGUUGUUCCACUGCUUCAAGGUUGUGCUACGAGUAUCAUGCAUGCUUAAAAAGCUUCAUGCUAAGCCAAUGGAAGUAUACAGCAACAACAAGUAUAGGAACAGUCAAGGGUACCAGGACGCAGUAAUACCUGUCAUUUUGAAUGGCUGAGAUGAUAGGAUUGUCGGAUGAAGGAAGAAGCUUAGAUAUAACUGCUGCAAAGAGAAAUCCCACAAAAGAAACCAAGCCGAUUCCGAUCAACCACCAUCCCCAAUAUGUAGUCGUUGCUUUGGGUAUGUCCGUUCUAGAAGAAACCAUUUUCUGGAAUUCUCCUCUACAUCUUGAUAGCACCAAAAAAGACAAAGAAUUAAACGAAAGCUUCUUGGUUUGCACAGACAACAAUGAGGGAAGAAAGAAUUGGGGGCAUA